rnacentral:piRNA from 1 species
UGACACAGCUGACUACGCCCUUGGUC